rnacentral:rRNA from 1 species
UACGUAGGGAGCGAGCGUUGUCCGGAUUCAUUGGGCGUAAAGAGCUCGUAGGCGGCUUGGUAAGUCGGAUGUGAAACCUCCAGGCUCAACCUGGAGUCGCCAUCCGAUACUGCCAUGGCUAGAGUCCGGUAGGGGCCCACGGAAUUCCUGGUGUAGCGGUGAAAUGCGCAGAUAUCAGGAGGAACACCGAUGGCGAAGGCAGGUCUCUGGGCACUUACUGACGCUGAGGAGCGAAAGCGUGGGGAGCGAACAGG